rnacentral:tRNA from 1 species
GGUCGUUAGCUCAGUUGGUAGAGCAGUUGACUUUUAAUCAAUUGGUCGCAGGUUCGAUUAGCGUACUACC